rnacentral:rRNA from 1 species
AGCAUGCGGAUUAAUUCGAUGCAACGCGAAGAACCUUACCAAGGCUUGACAUACACCGGUAACGCCCAGAGAUGGGUGCCCCUUUGUGGUCGGUGUACAGGUGGUGCAUGGUUGUCGUCAGCUCGUGUCGUGAGAUGUUGGGUUAAGUCCCGCAACGAGCGCAACCCUCGUCCUAUGUUGCCAGCGGGUCAUGCCGGGGACUCAUGGGAGACUGCCGGGGUCAACUCGGAGGAAGGUGGGGAUGACGUCAAAUCAUCAUGCCCCUUAUGUCUUGGGCUUCACGCAUGCUACAAUGGCCGGUACAAAGGGCUGCGAUACCGCGAGGUGGAGCGAAUCCCAGAAAGCCGGUCUCAGUUCGGAUUGGGGUCUGCAACUCGACCCCAUGAAGUCGGAGUCGCUAGUAAUCGCAGAUCAGCAACGCUGCGGUGAAUACGUUCCCGGGCCUU